rnacentral:pre_miRNA from 1 species
GUGAGUUUCGUAGAGUUUAAAGCUCUUACUUUGCUCGCUGGCACGCCCACGCGAAAGCUCUACCCAAACUCACUAUGC